rnacentral:tRNA from 1 species
AGUCCUGAAGUGAGAGUCACGUCAAAUUGCAAAUUUGAAAAAGUUCCUAUUUGGUUCCAGGGCUU